CCGCGCGGCUGGUAACAGUCCGUGGCACGGUAAACUCCACCCGGAGCAAGGCCAAAUAGGGGUUCAUAAGGUACGGCCCGUACUGAACCCGGGUAGGCUGCUUGAGCCAGUGAGCGAUUGCUGGCCUAGAUGAAUGACUGUCCACGACAGAACCCGGCUUAUCGGUCAGUUUCACCU
rnacentral:RNase_P_RNA from 1 species